UGCCCAGUGUGAUGCUCUCACACUGUCCCAGUGUACUGAUUGAGAUUUAGAUUAUUUUUGUUGUUUCUGAAGAUCUGUCUCUAUAAUUUUUAAUCAUGUGUACCAGCACAUUUCCUUGCAGGGCUGUGGACAAGUGAGUGCAAGUACCAGAGUUGGUCAGAGUCACUGGACCCCUGGAUCUGGGCCACAGGCAGUUGUGAGCUGCCUGACAUGCACACUGUCAACCACCUCAGGUUUUCUGCAAGAGCAGUUACAAAUCUCCUCUGAUUACCCUAUGAACAAGAGGAUGAACCAUGAUUAUGAUCAAAAUGUGUCUUGAUCUCCUUGUGACCUAAGUAUGUCUCCCUGCUCUGGCUGCCCGUUGCCAUGACUCUCUCACCAUUUAUGGGCUCUCCGCCGGAAGCUGAAGGCAGCAUAAACUGGGUGUGUGUUGUUGACAUGAGAGCAGCUAUGCCAAAGACCCCACACCCUCAGCUAUGUCCCAGGGAGUGACAAUCUAUACCUCCUCCCAAUGAGACUCUGAAGAAUGCAAAGCUUUCCUUUUCCCUGAUUGAGAAUGCUGGCAGUGUGUGCAAAAACCAGCAACUGCAGCUUUCUCCUCCUGGAAGACUGCAGCCUGAGGCCACUUCCCCACAGACAUACCUGGACUAGGCAGCCUCUCCCA